GGUAAUCUGUGAUGUGCGAAUCGCGCCACUCUGUGUUGACCGAACAUUUUUUAGUAUUAUGCCGGGAUUCAACGAAUUUAGGAAUAAAACAAGCCUUUUCACUUGGUAGUUUGACGACUAGAUAGCGAAGCCCACCUGCAAACUCGCGGGAUCAAUACUACGGAACGAUCAACGGCAUCGACGGAUCUUAC
rnacentral:other from 1 species